AUCGAUGAAGAACGCAGCAAAGCGCGAUAGGUAAUGCGAAUUGCAGACGUGAGUCAUUGAAUUUUUGAACGCAUAUUGCGCUAUUAGUUUGUCUAAUAGCAUGCUUGUUGGAGUGAUAAUCUUCCUCUCAACCAUUUUUGGUAUGAGGUCUUGCUCCUUUUAGGAGUUAAAAUCAUGGAAGUGCACACGUUAAUUAACUCUGUGCAGUUAUACACUUUUCAUCCUCCAAUCAAGCAAGGUUACCCGCUGAACUUAAGCAUAUCAAUAAGCGGAGGAAAAGAAACCAACAGGGAUUGCCCUAGUAACGGCGAGUGAACAGGCAAGAGCUCAGAUUUGAAAGGCACUUUUGUGCCGUUGUAUUCUGAAGUUAGGGUCCUGAGAAACGAUGCUUAAGUCUUCUGGAAAGGAGCGCCAUGGAGGGUGAUAGCCCCGUCUAGCAUUGACCUCAUAUAGGAUCUUAACAUGGAGUCGAGUUGUUUGGGAAUGCAGCUCAAAUGGGUGGUAUGCUCCAUCUAAAGCUAAAUAUCUGCGAGAGACCGAUAGUAAACAAGUACUGUGAGGGAAAGAUGAAAAGAACUUUGAAAAGAGAGUGAAAAAGUACGUGAAAUUGUUGAAAUGGAAGGGUAGGCCGCUAACCAUGUAGAGCCGUGUUUGGGGGGAAGAUAAAUGCUGUAGAAUGUAGCUCCUCGGAGUAUUAUAGAUGCAGUUCAUAUUCCCACCCGAGCGCGAGGAUCUCAGGUUCUACUAAAUGGUGGUCUACCACCCGUCUUGAAACACGGACCAAGGAGUCUAUUGUCUGCGCGAGUAUUUGGGUGUCAAACCCAUAUGCGAAGUGAAAGCGAAAGGUUCUAACCUUCGGGUUCAGAAUCGGCCGACCGUUUAUAGAAGCGGAUUGAGUAGAGCGUGGAUGAUGGGACCCGAAAGAUGGUGAACUAUGCCUGAAUAGGGUGAAGCCAGAGGAAACUCUGGUGGAGGCUCGCAGCGGUUCUGACGUGCAAAUCGAUCGUCAA
rnacentral:rRNA from 1 species